rnacentral:rRNA from 1 species
UACGUAUGGUGCAAGCGUUAUCCGGAUUUACUGGGUGUAAAGGGAGCGCAGGCGGCACGGCAAGCCUGAUGUGAAAGCCCGCGGCCCAACCGCGGGACUGCAUUGGGAACUACCGGGCUGGAGUGCCGGAGAGGUAGGCGGAAUUCCUAGUGUAGCGGUGAAAUGUGUAGAUAUUAGGAGGAACACCAGUGGCGAAGGCGGCCUACUGGACGGUGACUGACGCUGAGGCUCGAAAGCGUGGGGAGCAAACAGG